GUGGCAGAUAACAGCUACCCUGUGGCUGGCUGGAAUGGCUUUCCCAAAAUGGAUCAGAUCACAGCUUCUUAACAGAGAUAAUUUCUUUACAGUAUUUUGCAGUACUCUCAUGAAAAGAUGAAAGCCUUCCAAGUCAGGAUUGAUGCAUCAUGGCUGGGAUGAUCAUGAGCAUAGCCAUAAACUGAAGUGAUUCAGACUUCUGUCUUCAGAGCACUUUUCCAAGGUUUCAGGUAUAGGAGAACCAUGAGAACACAUUGGAGAUCAGAAAUCAAAGGGCUGCAGAACUCAGGAGAAGCAUUACUGAGCUUAAAGCAUGUGAGGACUCAUUUGAAGAGACAACUUCCCAGUGAUGUGGUUGCUUACUUUAAGGCUGCACUAGAACACAAGAAUGUGAAAGGUUUGAUAGACCAAGAAGAGGUGGAAACUUCAUAGCCAAACCUAAUAACUGAAGAGACAUUUCUAAGAAACAAUAUUAAGGAAAAGAUAAAGAAAUAUCAGAGCUUAGUUGUGUUGUCCUUUACCCUCAGAUUUAGAUCCAUGGUUUAACUAU
ensembl:lncRNA